UUAACUCUAAAAAGACUGGUGGUGGCAACCUUCUCAGGUUAGUCUCUGAGAAGAACUCUAGAGAGUUUCAGAUUUCCUUUCAAUGUUAGAGACUCGGGGUGAAAAAUACUGGGCAUUGCUAUAUUUGUGUUCUCCCAGGAUUCAUAUGGUGAAAACUUAAUUCCCAAUGCGAUAGUGUUAGGAUAUUGGGCUUUGUGAUAUAAUAAGGUCAAUAGGGUGGACUCCUCUUCAAUGUGAUUAGUGCCCUUAUGAAAGAGAUCACAGGGGCCACAUGAAGACCAGCCAAAUAGAAGACAGUUGUCUGUGAACUAGAAAGCAGGCUCUCAAGAGACACUGAAUAUGCCAGCGUCUCCUUGAUCUUAGAAUCCCCAGCCUCCUAACUAUGAGAAAUAAAUUCUUGUUAUUUAAGCCAUUCAUUCUAUGAUAUUUUUAAAAUCAUAGUCUGAACUAAGGAUGGGCAGUAAAUUGUAAUGUUCUUGUCUUUGUCAGUUCAGGUUGCUAUAACAAAGUACCGUGGACUGGGUGACUUGUAUACAACAGAAAUGUACUUCUCAACGGUUGUGAAGGGUUGAAGUCCAAGAUCAGAGUGUCAGUAUGGCUGGUUCCCCUUCUGGAUCUUUGCUCUUUGCAUCCUCCUAUGGUGGAAAGGGAUUUCCUCUUCAGCAUGCUGAACUACCCACCUCUGCUCGACCCCCACUGUCCAAUAUCCACUAUCCAACACAGGCUUGCUUCUGCCUCUGAGAAACUACGUAAAUGAAGCAAGGUCAUAGAACUGAGAGUGAACUGGAGUUAAAAUGAAACAGAAAAGAGUGGAAUAUACAUCUGGGAUUGUAGAUGAGCAAAUGGACUAGAAUUCUGUGGUAAGAUUUCUAGGCAGCACCUAAUUCAAAUUUUUGCCAUUGUUGUUUAGUCGCUAAGUCAUGUCCAACUCUUUUGUGACCCCAUGGGAC